rnacentral:rRNA from 1 species
UAAAGAUUCAUCGCUGAUAGAUAGGCAUGCGUUCCAUUAGGCAGUUGGCGGGGUAACGGCCCACCAAACCGACGAUGGAUAGGGGUUCUGAGAGGAAGGUCCCCCACAUUGGUACUGAGACACGGACCAAACUCCUACGGGAGGCAGCAGUGAGGAAUAUUGGUCAAUGGGCGUAAGCCUGAACCAGCCAAGUCGCGUGAGGGAUGAAGGUUCUAUGGAUCGUAAACCUCUUUUAUAAGGGAAUAAAGUGCGGGACGUGUCCCGUUUUGUAUGUACCUUAUGAAUAAGGAUCGGCUAACUCCGUGCCAGCAGCCGCGGUAAUACGGAGGAUCCGAGCGUUAUCCGGAUUUAUUGGGUUUAAAGGGUGCGUAGGCGGCCUUUUAAGUCAGCGGUGAAAGUCUGUGGCUCAACCAUAGAAUUGCCGUUGAAACUGGGAGGCUUGAGUAUGUUUGAGGCAGGCGGAAUGCGUGGUGUAGCGGUGAAAUGCUUAGAUAUCACGCAGAACCCCGAUUGCGAAGGCAGCCUGCCAAGCCAUGACUGACGCUGAUGCACGAAAGCGUGGGGAUCAAACAGGAUUAGAUACCCUGGUAGUCCACGCAGUAAACGAUGAUCACUAGCUGUUUGCGAUACACAGUAAGCGGC